rfam:Rattus norvegicus chromosome 10, whole genome shotgun sequence.
GGGGAUUUAGCUCAAUGGUAGAGCGCUUGCCUAGCAAACGCAAGGCCCUGGGUUCGAUCCCCAGCUCCG